GUAAUACAAUAUUAGGCAGAGACUUCAACAUCCCACUUUCAGCAUUAGAUAGAUCUUCCAGACAGAUAAUCAACAAAGAAGCAUAAGACUUAAUCUGUACUAUGGACUAAAUGGAUCAAAUAGAUAUUUACAAAAAAAUUCAUCCAAUGGUGACAAAAUGCAUCUUUUUCUCCUCAAGAAUAGAUCAUAUGUUAGCUCACAAAGCAAGCCUUAAAACAUUCAGAAAAUUGAAAUAAUAUCAAGCAUCUACUCUGACCACAAUGGAAGGAAACUAGAAACUAAUAACGAGGAAUUUCGGGAACUAUUCAAAUUCAUGGAAAUUGGACAAUCUACUCCUGAAUAACCAGUGGGUCAAUAAAGAAAUUAAGAGGGGAAUUGGAAAGCUUGAAACAAAUGGUAAUGAAAAUGCAACAUACCAAAACCUGAGAUAAAGAAAAAGCACUACCGACAGGGAAGUUUAUAGCUAUUAGUGCCUACAUUAAAAAAAGAGGAAAAACUUCAAAUAAACAAUCUAACAAUACAUUUGAAAGAACUAGAGAAGCAACAGUAAAGCAAACCCAAAACCAGUAGAAGAAAUAAUGAAGAUCAGAGCAGAAAUAAAUGAAAUAGAAAUAAAGGAAGUGAUACAAA